AAGGCGGUAUCCAUCCGGAACUGCACUUCACGCAUGUUGGAGCUUAUGUUCCUUUAUCCCAAACUUCAUAGCAUCGAUCAGCAAUAUGUCGGAUUCUGCUCUGAGCCCUGCGGGGACCGAGACAGAAGG
rfam:Paenibacillus mucilaginosus 3016, complete genome.